UACGAAGGGGGCUAGCGUUGCUCGGAAUUACUGGGCGUAAAGCGCACGUAGGCGGAUUGUUAAGUCGGGGGUGAAAUCCCACGGCUCACCCGUGGAACUGCCUGGCAGACUGCGAUGCUCGAGUGUGGUAGGGGAGAGCGGAACUCCUGGUGGAGCGGUGAAAUGCGUAGAUAUCAGGAGGAACACCGGUGGCGAAGGCGGCUCUCUGGUCCACAACUGACGCUGAGGUGCGAAAGCUAGGGGAGCAAACGGG
rnacentral:rRNA from 1 species